AAUCUUGAGGACGCCGUGGACUAGAAUAUACAUACAUGAAUAUCACUGUCAGACUAAACAGAAUCCCGAUGCAGUGUUAAUCCGUGAGCGAGUACUUAAGACAACCUGUGAGGGAUUACCUUUGUAUGUUUUGUGAACAUGUAACUUAUUAUUUACAUUGUACAAGGAAAGGAACUGUUAGCUGCUUUUAGCAGCAGAAAACCAAACAGUGCUCAACAGACUUUGAUGUAUAAUUUUCUUUAUCACAGUCACCCUUUAAUGUCAUUGAUGGUCAAAUUAAACUUAUGAACAGAAUUUGAAAAUAAAAACAAUUUGAUAUUGAUCUAGAUUUGCUCCAGGUAUGCCUGAAAAUGAAAUAAAAAUUCUAUUAUUGUCAGCUUUGCC
rnacentral:misc_RNA from 1 species